GGUAUAGCUCAGGGGUGCAGUGCGUGCUUAGCAUGCACGAGGCCCUGGGUUCAAGCCCCAGUACC
rnacentral:tRNA from 1 species